GAUGAACGCUAGCGACAGGCCUAACACAUGCAAGUCGAGGGGCAGCACGAGGUAGCAAUACUGAGGUGGCGACCGGCGCACGGGUGAGUAACACGUAUGCAACCUACCUGUAAGAGGGGAAUAACCCGGAGAAAUUCGGACUAAUACCGCAUAACACUGCCAUACCGCAUGGUAUAGCAGUUAAACCUUUAUGGUUUACAGAUGGGCAUGCGUAUGAUUAGAUAGUUGGUGAGGUAACGGCUCACCAAGUCAACGAUCAUUAGGGGUUCUGAGAGGAAGGGCCCCCACACUUGUACUGAGACACGGACCAGACUCCUACGGGAGGCAGCAGUGAGGAAUAUUGGUCAAUGGGCGAGAGCCUGAAACAGCCAAGUCGCGUGAAGGAAGAAGGUUCUAUGGAUUGUAAACUUCUUUUGUAAGGGAAUAAAAAGAGUUACGUGUAACUUAUUGUAUGUACUUUACGAAUAAGGAUCGGCUAACUCCGUGCCAGCCGCCGCGGUAA
rnacentral:rRNA from 1 species